CAUGGCGGACGGGUGAGUAACGCGUAAGAACUUAGCCCUUUAGACUGGGAUAACAGAGGGAAACUUCUGAUAAUACUGGAUAAGUUAGUAUAUCGCAUGAUAUGCAAAUGAAAGCUACGGCACUAAAGGAGAGCUUUGCGUCCUAUUAGCUAGUUGGUAAGGUAAGAGCUUACCAAGGCGAUGAUAGGUAGCCGGCCUGAGAGGGUGGACGGCCACAAGGGGACUGAGAUACGGCCCUUACUCCUACGGGAGGCAGCAGGG
rnacentral:rRNA from 1 species